CUCCUGUGAAAACUCGGCAGCCAGGAAACCAGAGCCCGAGCCUCUGGGGCCUCCGAGCCCCCGGGCUACACGGGCCGGGAAGAGCUGCCCAGCGCCCUGCGGCCG